UGGGGAUCGCAGACAGAAAUCCCAGCGCCCGGCGAGCGGGAGGUAUUGUCCGUCACCCGGGGCUUUGUUACGUCUUCGCCUACUCACCUGGCCGCCGGCGCGUCCUGGCCGCUGCAGCCCGGAGCGGAGUGUCAGCCGCUGCCGCCGCCGCUGCCGCCAUGGUGUCCCCGGUCACUGUGGUGAAGAGUGAGGGACCCAAGCUGGUGCCCUUCUUCAAGGCCACCUGCGUGUAUUUUGUGCUCUGGCUGCCCUCGUCCAGCCCAUCGUGGGUCAGCGCCCUCAUCAAGUGCCUGCCCAUCUUCUGCCUCUGGCUCUUCCUUCUGGCCCAUGGCCUAGGAUUCCUGCUGACCCAUCCCAGUGCCACCCGCAUCUUUGCGGGGCUCGUCUUCUCCGCUCUAGGUGAUGCCUUCCUCAUCUGGCAGGACCAGGGUUACCUUGUGCACGGUCUGCUGAUGUUUGCUGUGACCCACAUGCUCUACGCCUCGGCCUUUGGCAUGCGGCCAUUGGCUCUUCGGACAGGUCUGGUGAUGGCAGUGCUGUCGGGCCUAUGUUAUGUUCUUCUGUACCCAUGCCUCUCAGGUGCCUUCACUUACCUGGUGGGGGUCUAUGUGGCCCUCAUCGGCUUCAUGGGCUGGCGGGCUAUGGCAGGACUACGGCUGGUCGGGGCAGCCUGGCGCUGGACUGAGCUGGCAGCAGGCAGUGGUGCACUGUUCUUUAUCAUCUCAGACCUGACCAUCGCCCUCAACAAGUUCUGCUUCCCGGUGCCCUACUCACGGGCACUCAUCAUGUCCACGUACUAUGCUGCCCAGAUGCUCAUCGCCCUGUCAGCUGUUGAGAGCCGGGAGCCAGUGGAAGACUACAGACUGAGCAAGGCCAACUGAGAGGCCAGGGUCUGGUUACCCCUCUCUCCUCCUGGGGCAGGGGUCCAGAACCUGCAAGAACUGGGUCAGGACGGCUGUAGGCCUAACUUGGGGCAGCAGUUACCACCUGGGAAAUGUACAAGUUUGAGAGGGUAAGCAGGAAAGGGAUCUCUCCAGCGAAGCUACUGGUCCAGAACAAUUAUGAGAGCUAAAAAGAGCCAGCCUAAUUCUCCUUGAUGGAGCCGGAAUUAGACAUCUCCCCACCUCCAAACCCAUCGGGACUGUCACAGCCCCUCUGGAGGGUGAUGGUGCUCGGUGUCUUGACCUCCCCCCGCUUCUGCUAGAUGGAAGAGUCUGACUCACCCAUUCCCACUUUUUCUCAUCUGCACCGAGGGAAGAGAGGAGACAUCUGAACUGAGAUGACCAAGCCAGGGCUUGAAUUCCCUUUUGCAGGCCCCUAAUUGGGAGAAUUCUGCUCUAAAACCUAAGUUUGAAACGUAGGGAGCUGGAUGACCGAUUCCUUCUAGCUUGAGAGGCGCUGAUUCUCAAACAGUGGGAACCCUGGACACUGAAGAGGCAAGGCCCUGAUCCCCUCCUCUGACAACAGACCUACCUGGUGAAGAAAUGGGGGGGGGUACCUGAAGAAGGAUGAAGCCUAUCAAGAGAUCAAGACUUGCUCUCCCUUGCCCUGAGGGGAGGGGAGGCGUGCCAAGGCCCCGCCAAGAAGGGGCUGGUCACUCCCAAUGUGAGUGGGUUUGGACUAAGCUCCUGGGGUCCGUGCUCUGUGUGUCCCCAUCCACUGCCAAGUCCAUGUCUUUGGUCCCUGCUGCGCAUCACACUCAGGAACAGGCAGGGGUGAACUUAGUCAAUUUAUUGUCCCAUGUCUCCACUGACUGUUGACAUUGACAAGCAGCGGAGAGCAAAUGGGGCUGCCCCCACUGGGGCCACACACAGGAUGGGCCCCGAAACCACACAUCCCAACAUCCUCCUGAUGCUUGGGCUGGGCCGGAGCUCACAUGAGUUCCACUGCCAUUCUGGAGGCAUCAUCUCAGCGCCAGACGUCUAGCUGAGCACUUGAAACCGAGUGACGGUGUGACUUUCCCCGAAGAGAGGCAGUUACAACAGGACAGCGAUGGACUACCAUGGAGAGUUCAGGGAGUGGCAGAGGAUGAGGCUGGAGAAGUCGAUGUAAGGGGCAGGGGACAGUGUGGGGAGCCUUGCUGGUUGUCGUUUUCUCAUGAGGAUCAUGGAAAAGGGAGUUACAGCGAGAAGGGGCAGGGCAGGUCCGCUUUGCAUUUCUUGAGUUCAUGCUACUAGCUGUGUAGUUGUGAAGGUAGAGGAGUGUGUAGGAAAAAAGAUCGCUCCCCUACAUGUACGCGCAUGAGCAAAUGUGUGGCACGUCUGUGUGGAGGAAGGGUCUCCACUAGGUUCCCUUCAGUCCUUGCCCCAUUUGUACUUCCAUCUCUCCUUAUCCUGGACCAGUAGUUUUCAAUCUUGGUUGUAUAUCAGAAUCACCUGUCAAAUCUUGUAAGCAUAAAAACUCCUUCCAGAGCCCUGCGACAGAGAUUGUGACUGGUGAGUCUGGUUUAGGCCUAUUCACCAGUUUCUUUUUCAAAGGCAAGUCUACGCCCACCAAGGAUUGCAGACUCCAGAGUCUGCAGAGCCAGGCACAUAACAAAUGACAUGGAGAGGAUGGGAGAGAGGAACCAAGUAUGGCCAGUUGGUGAAUGUUUACACCACCUGAUGGCAGAGGAAAUAAAAAACGGCGCCACGAAACAGCCAUCCUGCCCUCUGGACCAGGUGGGCUGCAGGGGCACCUCCCCGCCCCGCCCUGCGCGGUGCCCUCACCGUAGACCUUGAGCACGCAGCUGCUGCGGUCCUUGCCCAACUCGUUCUCCACCAGCACGCUGUACUCGCCGCUGUCCUUGAGCGUGCAGGUGGGGAUGACGAUUGUGCAGACGCCGCUGGUGGAGUUGUACCAGAACUUGGAGUUGGCCGUGAUGUUGACGUCGCCCUUGUAGAGGGUCACCGUGGGCCGCGGGUUCCCCAGGAAGGCGCAGGUCAUGGUGCAGUCCUGGCCGCGCAGCACCGUGUGCGUCUUGAGCGGGGUCAGGAAGCGAGGCGCGUGGCGCCAGUCCUUCGGCUGGUACGGCUUCAGCUUGGCGCUCAGGUCCUCGACUGCGUGCAGGGGGGGGGGGCCCGGCAGGCGGUGAGCGCGCCCAGGACCCCGGGCGCCUCCCGCCCGCUGAGAGCUCUGGAGGCGCCCCGGAGACCCAGCUCCCCGGGGAAGGGCACACUAGCCACUCUGGGGCCCCGACUUGACAUUAGUGUGUCCGAGGAUCCCCUUCCGCCACCCUCCCGCCCCUUGUCACUCCAAGGUUCCACGAUCAAAGCCAGGUGCGCGGGUUUGGGUUUUUACCCUUUUCCAGACCCAGGAGUCCUAACUUCUUGCCAGCUGCCAGCUUGCGGACCGGGCUGUUAACCGGCUGGGAACUGCCCAUCCAGCCUUUCCCCAGCGUCAUCUCAGCCUCCAUGGGCUCCCCUCGCCUCCAUUUAGCUCCUCAAGUUUCCCUAUCCUAUCUUCACCCUUAACCCCUUCCCUUCCUGGACGUCAUCCUUGGAGACCCUCUCCAGUCCUCACCCCUUGGACCCCUCAGCUCCAACGGCAGGGUCUCAGCUUCACCCCCCCGCCCUGUCAUCCCCGCCCCCAAGGGCACCUCCCCACCGCCACGUUAGUCCCAACCCUCAGAGUACCCAGAAAGUAUCUCCUCUAGGCUUCGGGAUCGCUACUUCUCUUCCCAGCAUCCCUGACCGGAGCCUUUCCACCUCAAUGGUUCUCAGAUUUUACCUCCAAUCUUGGGUACCCCUGGCAACACCUAUGUCAUCCCUGCCAUCAGACAUAUAACCCGAACCCCCAAGGCCACCCACACUCACUCUUGUCCUUGUUGACGAGCCAGGUGUUCUUGGAGUCCAGCGGCUCACUGUCACCAAUUUCGUUCCGGGCCAAGACUCGGAAGCAGUACUUCCUGCCGGGGAGUAACCCUGUCACCGUGUACUUGUUGCUGAAGACGUGGUCCGCAGCCGUGAACCAGGUGGCGGUGCUGGCAUCCCGCUUCAGGAUGACGUAGUGGGCCUCACUGUCCUCCUGCACGUCAGGGCUGUGGUUCCAGGUCAGAGUCACUGUGUUGGGGACCUCCUCAAACAGCCGUAGGUUUGUGGGUGGCCGCGGAAAAUCUGGAACAGCCAUAUAAGGUCCCUCAGCCACCCUUGGGGGCCUGUAGAGUUGUGUCCCACCCCAGGCACCUGCCAAGCCCCAUGGAAGGUGGAAUGGGGACUGUCUCUUCUUUGAGUCUCAGGCCGCUGGUGUUUUGGAGUCAGAAGGAGCUAUUUCUGAGGUGUAUCUGCCAUUUACCAGCCCUGUAAACUCUGAGACCCAUUUCCUCACUUGCAAAAUAGGGCUGACAAAAACUCCCACCGAAAUGUUGAGUAAAGUGCUUGGCACAUAGUAACCAUUCAAUAAAAGUUUAUCCCUUCAUCCCUUGGGGGUUUAAGGCUUGAUUAUAAAGCAUCUAGCCUUCACUAUCAGGUCACUCCCAUUUUCAAUGGACUCAUCUCCAUCUGCCCCUCCUGCCUCCCAUUCAUUUUUUGCUCUCUCUUCCAAUCAUACUUUGCAUACGCCCCCAAAGCUCACCAGAUACGAAUGCAGAGACUGACACAAGGGUUUGGUCCUAGUUCAAUGCCUCUAGGGCUUCAGGGCAUUUAGAAAAAGUGGAAACAAACCUCCCCAGGAAGGCAAGGGCCAAUAAUGUCUUGCUUCGUGGCACCAGAGAAGCCGUUACCACCUUCAGGCGUGACUUGACAGGGGCAGGAACUCAAGCAGCAGUGGGGAGCUCUAUUUUGGAGCGUGUGCAAGGAUGCCUCCCCGAGGCCUCUGCCUGCUGUCGUACCUGCCACACGCACGUGGAUGUCAUAGUAUGCCUCUCCAAACUCAUUCUGGAGCAAGAUGCGGUACACCCCGGAGUCGGAGCGCUUCGUGCUGUUGAUGAGGAACUGGGAGUGGUUCUUGCCCUUGGUGAUGGUUUCCCGGCCCUUGGUAGGGAUGCCAUCUUUCUGCCAGAUCACGUUGGGUGGUGGUGAGCCCUGCGUGGUGACGGGAGAUGGCACUGGGGUCACCCAGGUGUUAUCUGGGGGCAGGCCCUCUCCCACUCCACUGUCAAGGAAUCUCCUGCCAGGCUCUAUUGCCAGGGGUCUGGCGAGGGGCAGAGACAGAGAUUAUGAUAGCUACAGCAGCCAUCUUGGCUAAGUGGGGGGCCUGUGGGGGCCAGGGUCUGGAACGACUCACAGAGAAGGCAGCAUGGAUGCAGAGGGCUGUCCCAGCACGAACCACCAUGUGACUCUUCAGCCGGGCGGUGAGGUCAAACUUGGGGGCAGCUGAGAUGGAGGAGACAGAGGUGGGGCCAUGGACCUCUCUCUCUGGAAGACUCAGCUUUAAACCUCCCCCCAGAGCCUUUCCCAACCUCUCCCCCAUGCUCUCACGACAGAUCAUACAGACAGCUGGCAGCCCCAACACUGUGAAGCGUUUAGUUGUUCCUCCUUUGUCUUCCCCUAUUAGUAUGUAACACUCUAGGGCAGGUCCUGUGUCUUAUUUGUUUCUAUAUUUCUAACACCUCCCUUGGCACACUACUUGGCAUACAGUGAGUGGUUUUUUUUUUUUUUUGCGGGGGGGACAGGUCACCCCUAGCUCUGCCCACGCACAAGUAUGGAUGACUUCUUGAUCAUAGCAUCACCCAGUCUUUCCCCGUGGGAUGAGGGCCCAGAGAGGAAAGUAUGGGGCCAGGAUGUUGGGCCCUAAACCCCAGCUCUGUCUGCACCCUCACCUGGCGGUGGCAUGGCACGGACCCCCUCGUCCAGCUCCACAGGCUCCCCGACCCCAGCCUCGUUCACAGCCCGGAUUCGGAAGAAGUAUUUCUGCCUCUCGGUGAGGCCCCCCACCGUGUAGCAGGUCCCCGAAAUGGGGAUCUUGGUGCACUUGGACCACUCCUUUGUG